rnacentral:rRNA from 14 species
AAUUCCUUGUCGGGUAAGUUCCGACCUGCACGAAUGGCGUAACGAUGGCGGCGCUGUCUCCACCCGAGACUCAGUGAAAUUGAAAUCGCUGUGAAGAUGCAGUGUAUCCGCGGCUAGACGGAAAGACCCCGUGAACCUUUACUAUAGCUUUGCACUGGACUUUGAAUUUGCUUGUGUAGGAUAGGUGGGAGGCUUUGAAGCGUGGACGCCAGUUCGCGUGGAGCCAUCCUUGAAAUACCACCCUGGCAACUUUGAGGUUCUAACUCAGGUCCGUUAUCCGGAUCGAGGACAGUGUAUGGUGGGUAGUUUGACUGGGGCGGUCUCCUCCCAAAGCGUAACGGAGGAGCACAAAGGUGGGCUAAGCAUGGUCGGACAUCAUGCGGUUAGUGUAAUGGCACAAGCCCGCUUAACUGC